rnacentral:tRNA from 2 species
GUGGCUGUAGCUCAGUUGGUUAGAGCAUCGGCUUGUGGUGCCGAGGGUCGUGGGUUCGAAUCCCAUCAGCCACCCCA